rnacentral:rRNA from 1 species
UACGAAGGGGGCUAGCGUUGUUCGGAAUUACUGGGCGUAAAGCGCGCGUAGGCUGCGCCGCAAGUCAGAGGUGAAAUCCCGGAGCUUAACUUCGGAAUUGCCUUUGAAACUGCGGUGCUGGAAUCUCAGAGGGGAUAGCGGAAUUCCAAAUGUAGGGGUGAAAUCCGUAGAUAUUUGGAGGAACACCGGUGGCGAAGGCGGCUAUCUGGAUGAGUAUUGACGCUGAGGCGCGAAAGCGUGGGGAUCAAACAGG